rnacentral:rRNA from 1 species
AGUGAACGCUGGCGGUAGGCCUAACACAUGCAAGUCGAACGGCAGCACAGUAAGAGCUUGCUCUUACGGGUGGCGAGUGGCGGACGGGUGAGAAAUACAUCGGAAUCUACUUUUUCGUGGGGGAUAACGUAGGGAAACUUACGCUAAUACCGCAUACGACCUACGGGUGAAAGCAGGGGAUCUUCGGACCUUGCGCGAUUGAAUGAGCCGAUGUCGGAUUAGCUAGUUGGCGGGGUAAGGGCACACCAAGGCAACGAUCCGUAGCUGGUCUGAGAGGAUGAUCAGCCACACUGGAACUGAGACACGGUCCAGACUCCUACGGGAGGCAGCAGUGGGGAAUAUUGGACAAUGGGCGCAAGCCUGAUCCAGCCAUACCGCGUGGGUGAAGAAGGCCUUCGGGUUGUAAAGCCCUUUUGUUGGGAAAGAAAAGCAGUAGGAUAAUACCUCGCUGUUCUGACGGUACCCAAAGAAUAAGCACCGGCUAACUUCGUG